GAACUCCGGAUUGCUCUCACGUGAUUGCUGCAAAAUGCAACAUGGAGACAUCGUGAACAAAUGUGUUUUUGUAAUUUUGUGCUGCAGGUUUGGUGGGGCGGCGGCUUAUAAGCACAGUCAAUGCGUAAAAAUGAAUGGGUUAAUGUCUGGUUCCUGUUAAGUGCCGUUCACGGAGAGCUUCCCAGAGCCCCAGGGGAUUCCUGGCUGUGCAACAUUCAGUCAUCAAUAUACAUUGUGAUGUGACACUGAAAGCAACGUUAUUGACAAAUCACUCAAGAUCAGGGAAUCAUCUUAUAAUACGUAAAGAUUCUUCAUGAAGAUGACUGUGCAAGCAAUUUCUAUGGGGAAAAUGAAAACGGAAUGAAUUUGUUUAAAAAACAUUCUGCGCUUCCCAAAUAAUUGACAAUCUGCGCAAGUGAUUACAUGGAAAGACAAGAGUGCCCAGAUGCUGGAAUAUUGGGCAAAAACAAAGUGCUGGACAAACUCAGUGGGUCAUUGCAGCACCUGUGGAUGGCAAUGGACAGGUGAGAUUUCGGGUCAAGCUGCAGAUGGGUCCUGACCCACGACAUCAUCGGUCCAAUUUCCUCCACAGAUGCUGCCUGACCUGCGGAGGUCCUCCAGCACUUUGUUUUCUUUUGCACAGUGACAAAGGGAUUUGUUUUCCAAUUUAUUGGGCUAAACUGGACCUCGAUAAACUUUUGAACACAUGAGCUUGUGGCUAAUGCAAAUCUCCUUGAACUUGUGGGAGAAGUUGCAUCUGAUCCACCAGUGCUCAUAGUGUGAAGUGUACGUGAAAAAUAUCAGAAGUUACUUUGAAUAAACCAAUGUGAGCUGCACAACCUUUGCAUGACAUUGGAUGUGUGGUUAAAUUUCAGGGAUGAUAAGUGUUUCCGAUAUUAGCUAAGUAUGAUCUUUCUGGAGAAAUCUCACGAAAGACCAAAGUGAUACUUAGCAUUAUUGAAAAAGAGCCUUGUGCUUUCUCUUGCAAUUAUUCACUGUUCUUCUGUCUAAUUGCAUUUUCUGUACUGCCCACACCAUCUUCAGUGAUCUUCUGAUAAUUGUCCAGAUAUGUUUCCCGUGGUCUUUCUCUGUAUAGUGAUUAGUCUCUCUCUGGCUAUCACUAUUUAACAACUUAGCUUUCACUUUACCUUGAAUUCUCCUUUCUUAGCUUUGCAUAUGCAAGGAUGCAUUGCUAUUCAUCACUGAUUGAAAAAUAUUCAAUUUUGUCUCCCUCAGUGUGGCUUACCCAAGUCGUCCCUCAUUUAUGUGAGUCUCUUGACAUCUGACACUAACAUUAAUUCUACUGUUCUCUGAAAUCCAUUGCUUUUCUGGGUGAGUUUGGCCACUUAAGCUUCUUCCAGGGAUCGAAGCUGCCUUUUUCCUAUCUAGGAUUUUCGAUUACUCUAUUAUAUAGGAUUCCUUUCGCAGGAAUUUCCAGCUUGCUUCAUUUCACAAUGUUGCUUGAAGCAGAACAAAAUAGGAUAUAUGUUACAUUUAUGAUUUUGCUGCAUGCAGGAGUGUUAUUCCACUUGUCAAUUAGCGUUCUUCAAACCUCUCUUGGGAAUUUUUUUUUUUACCCAGUACUAUAUGUGACAAUUUUCAAAGAUAAUUCAUUAUAGAAACCGUCUAUCCUCCUGGUUCAGAGAAUAUUAAAUUGAACAUUAUGAUUCAA